rnacentral:sRNA from 1 species
GUAAUGAGUGGCCUGGGCCGGAGCAGGCGAGGUGGCCGGAGCCGUGUGGACCAGGAGGAGCGGUCUCCACAGGGCCUGUGGACAGGGGUGGCUAUGAGAUCCUGCCCCGAAGAGCAGUACUGGGAUCCUCUGCUGGGCACCUGCAUGUCCUGCAAAACCAUUUGCAACUAUCAGAGCCAGCGCACCUGUGCAGCCUUCUGCAGGUCACUCAGCUGCCGCAAGGAGCAAGGCAAGUUCUAUGACCAUCUCCUGAGGGACUGCAUCAGCUGUGCCUCCAUCUGUGGACAGCACCCUAAGCAAUGUGCAUACUUCUGUGAGAACAAGCUCAGGAGCCCAGUGAACCUUCCACCGGAGCUCAGGAGACAGCGGAGUGGAGAAGUUGAAAACAAUUCAGACAACUUGGGAAGGUACCAAGGAUCGGAGCACAGAGGCUCAGAAGCAAGUCCAGCGCCUAGAGGAUGCCCAGCUCCAGGGUCAAGGAAGAGCUUUUGGGAUAAGGAGAACUUCCAAGGGGAGGGUUUUUAUCUGGGCUGAGUCUGUCUCUGGCAUCCAAACCUGGAGGCACAAGUCCUGAGUCAUAGGGUGGCCAGGUGCCCUGAUGCCCAAGGCCCUCCUGGUUGGCACCUGCUGUCCUGGUCUCAGUGUAAUGUCACCUGUCCUACUCUCAAACACAGUGGGCCUUCUGUGUUGUGUGACCCAUGUCUGUGGAUUCAACCAACAGCAGCUGGAAAAUACUCAGAAAAGAUAAGGGGAUAGUUGCAUCUGUACUGAACCUCUGCAGCCAUUUUUUCUCAUUGUUAUUCCCUAAACAAUACAGUAUAACACCCAUCUACAUGGCAUCUAUAUUGUAUUUGGUAUUAUAAGUAAUCUAGAGAUGACUCUAAUUGUAUAGGAGGAUGUGCAUAGGUUAUAUGCAAAUGCGAGGCCGUCUUAUAUCAGGCACUUGGACAUCCGCAGAUUUUGGUAUCUGUGGGGGAUCCUGGAACCAGUCCCCCAUGAAUACCAAGGGACGACUGUAAAUGCUCACCCAGGAAGCCUUCUCCUUGGAGGAAGGGCCCAGUUCAGGAUGCACAGAGACAUGCUCCCUGGAGCAUCGUCUGUUCGUUUGUCGAUUCACCCAUCAGCCCAUCUCUAGCGCUGUCCCAAUUACAGCCCUAGCAAGUGGAGACAACAAGAAGGCCCAGCUCACGUUUCCAGCUUCGAGGCCUUAGGAAGUUGCUGCCAGGAUGUGGGGAGGGAUCAACUUCCUCCAGGAUCCAGAGAGCAUCCCAGCAGCCUCAGGGUCAGGAAAGGAGCCCAGCCUCUCCAGGAGCCAGACAGGCUCACAGCAGGGGGAUGCGGGCAUGUAGAUUGCUUGAGCCUAAUGAGAGGAAGAGGAGGAGGCACUGCAUAGAGGAGUCUCACACUGUCUUGCAGCUCUCC